UUCUAAAAAAAAUUCAAGAAUCAAGAUUCAAAAUUAAGAUUAAAGAUUAAACCAUAAAGAUUAAAAUUAAGAGUUGAAAACCUUUAAAAAUCAAAAUUUUGAUUUUGUUCAUUUCAUUUUCGAUAUUUAUCAUCAGAACAUGAUUUAUUUCACAAAAAAAAUUGCAGGAAGAGAAUUAUACUUGCAGGGAGUAGCAUAAGUCAGCAGGUGUGCAUUCAUUGCUUUUGAGCUUUCCCUUCAAUGCAGAUUCAAUGAAGCUUAAUACACAACUUAAAGAAACAUCUAUUUCUUUACUGCAUAUGAAAGAUCUAUGAAUUUUUCCCCUUUCUUGGCAAGUUGUUUAAGAAUAAAAUAAGGAAAUCAAAUUUAUGGUUUUAUUUAGGUUUAAGGACGUGAAAUAGGAGCCCACUGGGCAGCCACAGGUGGUAAGGAUGGACGGCCUUCGGCAAGUGGCUGGUUGGAGGUAUUAGUCGCAGGUGGACGGCGACAGCAGUUGGGUAUUUAGAGUUUUGGAUAAUUUAUCGUCAUAGGGCCGACAUAGGCCUUUGUCUGCCUUUAUUAGUAAUUGUGUUAUAUCUUGGUAUUAUGUCUAUAAUUUUAAAUUGUCGAAUGCUUUUCAAAUAUUACUAAAAAUUUCACCAUUUUGGGUACAUUAAAUGUUACUUUUCGGGGGUCUAACUUUCGUUUCUUUACCAGAACUCUUGCAUAAGUCACAUGAGAAGUAUGGAUCAGUUGUAAAGCUGUGGCUUAGCCCUACUCAGCUGUUAAGUGUCUAUAAAGGAUCCUUUGGUUAUAAAAGAAAUGCUCUUGAAGGCUGCUGAUAAAUUGCCUUUGAUAGGGCGGGUGCACCGUUUGGCCUUUGGGCAGUCAAGCUUCUUUGUAUCUUCAUUUAAACAGGUCAAAUGUAAAAGAGAAGCUUUGGCUGUGGAGUUAAAUGACAGGUUGCUUGAGAAAACAAAUGCAAUGACUGAAAGAGUUGUAGAUUCUGUAAUGGAAAGAAUAUGUGACACCAUGGAAGAGAGAACCCUUGAUUACGAGAAGUUUUCUCGACGCGUUGCCUUCUCCAUAUUAGGAGCCGCAUUUUUUGGUGAUGGGUUCUUUGAUUGGUCCAAGGCUAAUGCUUAUGAGGAUCUCCUGAUGAAGAUUGCAAAAGAUGCUUGCUUUUGGGCUUCAUAUAAUGUUCCUCCAUUCUGGAAAAGAAGUUACUGGAAAUAUCAGCGUUUAUGCACAAAGCAGAAAGCCUUAACUCAAGAUAUUGUUUUACAGUGCCUGCUGAACUACAAGCUGUUGUGCCAACCCAACUGUUACGACAAUUCUAAACUAAUAGGUGGGAAAGCUGCAUCUAGUAUGACUUAUUCAAUGAAUCCUAGCUCACAGGAGCUUUGUUGUAAUCUGAAUCAACGGGAUGAACACUGUGCAUACGUCAUGGGAAUGAUGUUUCAUGGUUACCUAACGACUGCUGGUUUGAUUAGUAACAUUCUGGCCAGACUUUCAAUGCAUCCUGAGAUACAGGAAAAGAUUUAUUCAGAGAUAAUUACUUUAUAAAGACAAUUAGAAAAUCUAAACAAACAGGAUGUCAUUGAGAUGCACCUCUCAGUGGCUACUUUGUAUGAAUCAGCUCGUCUUCUCCCUGCUGGCCUCUGCUGCAGAGAUGCUCCUUAAAACAUGAUUUUGAUCUUAAAAAUGGGUUGCACAUCCCUGCUGUAGCUCUGCUUGUUGCACCUCUACAGUUGGUUCAAAUGGAUGAGUUCAACUGGCAAAGCGAUGCUGGGAAGUUUAAUCCAUACCGUUUUUUGACAAAGUCUGAGAAGCAUUCUAAACAUAGAAGUUCUGAAACUACAGGUUUUACUCUCUUUGCUUUAUCUAUUUUACUAAUUCUUGCAUCUACUAUAAUUUUCUUGUGAUUGUUUUCUCCCUGUUCUAUUAGUUGCUCUCUUAUAUUAUGGGGCUUGUAUGUGGUUCAUAUGAUCAAUAUAGAUUGGGUCUUGUAUUUGCUUCAUAUGAUCAGUAUGGAUUUUUGAUAGCUGCUGCACAAUUGCACAGCUAUUCAGGGGUAAGAUCUUGGGUUUCCAAGAUCAGUUAUUGCAUUAGCCAAGCACAAUCAGAAGAGAGGAGAAAAACAGAAGCGAGGAAUAUUGUUUUUUUUUUUUUUUCAUAAACUCUAAUACAUCCUUAUGUCCCCUUUUAUACUACUAAGACUAUCACUAACACUCGUUUAUAACUAAUUACAAUUUUACUACUAAAUGUACCUAUAAUAAUUUUAUUUCAUACGACAAUCCUUUUUGGAAAUUCCAUUUGAUACAUAGGCUGGCUGAUGCACAGAGGAAACAUCUUGCAUAUUUUUCCCUUCACCUGUUUCAAUGUUCAUAGUUUCUAUUUGUGAAUGAAAGAAUAAUACAUAUUUUGACACUUUUUUAUGAUUUAAGGUAGGAAAAAAAGUGAAUCUGGCUGAGAUGCUAAAGGUGAUUCAAUUUUGGGAUAGAGAAGAGACACGCUUCACGGGCUUCUCUAUGGCCUUAUGAUUUACGCUCUCUUCUCUUUGAUAUAAUCACUAUGUAAUCAGUAUUUGGUGUAUUGACAUGUUAGCUGUUUGAUACAAAUGUGGUUGUAUCAAAUGAAGAUACCAAAGGAGCCCACACAAGGCUGCAUAGGCUGCAUACAGAUGUGGUUGUUUUUUUUUAAUCAUAUCACGGCCGAAAUAUAGGCGGAGACACCUGGAAAACCAUCUACAUUGAUUGUGAAAGCCGUUUUGCGACAUUUACUGCCCCCAAAAACCGCAUUUUUGCACUAUGUUAUAGGUAAUGUCUUUGCAACUUGUAUAGAAAAGGUUAAUGGUGCUUGUGGUGUUUUUCUCAUAAAAGCAUAUCGAGAUAAAAAUUUGUGCCUGAAUCUGAUACAGAGCCGAAGCCUGUUUUGACAAACUAUGUUCUUCAGCUUAUUCCCAGUCCUAAAAUAGUUUUUGUCAGACGUGAUGCCUGAUUUUACAUCCACAGUAGUACAGCACUGCCUUCUGUUCAGAAUGUGCCUUAAUUUGUCAUCCUGUGUCUGUUUAAAAUAAUUAGGGAAGACUUGUUGGUGUUCCAAGGUUGAAUUGGGAGACGCCUUUUCUCGCUUGCUAAGCUGUCAGAGAAGAGAUGCUACAUGACUAAAAAUAAUCAGCUCGUGUUUUUUUUCUCUUCCUGCAUUUUUCAAUGGCCUGAAGUGCAGGUUUUACUGCCAAAAUUUUAGACAGGUUUUGAAGCACCGUGGCCUAUUCUUCUGUUCAAAUGGAAUUGUUUUGUUUUCCUUGAAAAGAUCUCAAAGUAAAACAAUUUAAUUGAGAUGGAAGUAUAUAAUACGACUAUAGGCUGCAGCGAGCUUUGUGAUUUUCCUCUCUACCUUUGGUGUUGUAGAUGGUUUUUGUUUUGGGUGUUGCUUCUUUUUCUCCGCAAGGAGUUUAUGUUGUAAUCAUACAAAUGUAAAAAAGCUGUAUCACUUUGCUUCAAGUUCACAUUCAAUAACAUGUGUUUGUGUUCACUUUAAUGGAUUCCACUUUCGCUCCCCUUGCUUCUUCUAGAUGUCCUGUGUCCAACAUUCAGCCAGAGGUUUGAUAUUGGUUGGAAACUUGGAGUAUGAUAACCUUGGCUCUUGUGAUUAGACAUCGGAAAUAUUGAUUCGACCUGACUAAAAAAAUUAGGAUGAAACCUGAAAAUGUUGACCCAAACCCAAAAAAUAUCAAACCCAAAAAACCCAUUAAAAAACAGUUUGUUUAGGGUCAUAGAUGACCCAUUGGGUUGUACAGCCCUUUAAAAAGGGAUAAAACAUCUUCAUUUG